CGGGGCGUAGCGCAGCCCGGUUAGCGCGCCUGCUUCGGGAGUAGGAAGUCGGAGGUUCAAAUCCUCUCGCCCCGACCA
rnacentral:tRNA from 1 species